UACGUAGGGUGCAAGCGUUAAUCGGAAUUACUGGGCGUAAAGCGUGCGCAGGCGGCUAUGCAAGACAGAUGUGAAAUCCCCGGGCUCAACCUGGGAACUGCAUUUGUGACUGCAUGGCUAGAGUACGGUAGAGGGGGAUGGAAUUCCGCGUGUAGCAGUGAAAUGCGUAGAUAUGCGGAGGAACACCGAUGGCGAAGGCAAUCCCCUGGACCUGUGCUGACGCUCAUGCACGAAAGCGUGGGGAGCAAACAGG
rnacentral:rRNA from 1 species